CGACGACUCUACAUCGUACAUUUUCUAACUAUUGACGGCCGUGGAACUGACAACGGAUUAGAUCGUCAGCCCGAAAAGAUUCGACCACCGUCUCGACAUUCUUCAAGACAUAGAAAGCGAGACGCAAGAAGCAUGGCGUGGGCUGUGUUGGUCUCAGCUUUCCUGUUGUCUACAGUGAUUGGUGAAGCAAAUGCAGAUUAACCUAGACUCACCUCUGCCAUGGCGAAUCUCAGCGGACAAAACACCAUGUCUCAAGACACGGGCAACGACAGUGACGAUGGUUUAGAAAACGACAAUGCUUAUUUCCUGGAAGACUUUCUGGUGGAAGCAAAUGUUCCAGAUGAAGUAGGGCACUUUUUCAGCUUUCUUAACGAUGAAAAAUAAUAUUUCACAAUUGGUAUUCAAAUACAUUCUGCAUAUCGAGAAAUCA